UUGUGAGCGCAACGAGUUACGUAUGUGAGCAAGCGCUUCCAGAGGCGAGACAGGGCGGGUUUCGGUAUUCAGCAAUGCCGGUAAAAAGAGGGACAAUCAUGCUUUGGCGACCCUGGGAGAGUGAAUAGACUCAAUCGAGGAUGGAAGGAAGCUCAAGCGCCGCAACAAGCUGAAACUGAAACGAGCCCCUGAAGCAAAAACGAAACAACGAAAAGAGAGAGACCGAGAGCCAACCGUCUGUGGAGCCGAACCCGAGCAAAUCAAGCUGAUCGCACCAAACGAUUUUGAAUCGUCAUUGCAAGGUGCUUGAGUGAUGUGGAGGAUCUUUACUUUGGUGGAGUGGCCUCAGUUCAGCUUCAGGACUUGAUUGUUGGCUGAUAUUCCAGCCAAGAAAAUGUCCUUCCUUUCCUCGGACAGCUGAUGUGGGAAAGUUGCGUGGAAAUAAGUGCUUUCUCCGCGUUCAUGACGAAACCGCUGCUGGUGUUGUAGCAAGGGAUCAACACCAGACAGACUGCCAGUUGUGGAUCGAGCACUAUCCCGAAUGUUGUUUUAAGUUCGUGAUCAGUGAAGUGACUUUUGAAAUAUUAAAAUGGUAAAAUAAUCGAAAGAGUCCUCAGUCGAAGUCACACGUCAUGACGAGUUCGUACCAAGUGUUUGACGGGUGAAAAAGUGAUAUUUGGACAGGCCUUGUUUGCUCACUUCUUGAGAUGAGUGAUAAUCUUGCUUUUAUUGUGUUUGUGACCACCCAGUUCUCCUCAGACAAGACAUGGAAAUUGACAGAGUUGCCCUCGCGGAGUGGCAAAAAUUACAACCUCUCUGUAUUUUAUCACUAGAUCCGGCUGACAGAGCUGUACUCAGAGUUGCAGGUUUGAAUGGAUCAUUAAGUGGAGCAGCACAAUAUUGUUCAGAGGUCUGCAAGAUCGAUUCCGAGAAAUCAAUUACUUAUUUCGUGAGGACUUCUGCCCGAAUUGAUCUCGUAGUAAAUGGAAAUAAUCUUGUCACUCUCCUGGUAACAUCUGUUGGUGUUUGAAUUUUCCCAGGGAAAUACAACGAACUGAGAACAAAGAUUUGUGUCAACAGCAGCCUUUAGCCCGGGUUUGGACGGCCAUAAAAUGUCGUCAACAACUGCGGAUAGAUCAUAGUUCAAUACCAGGCCUAAAAGAGCCUUGGCGUAGUUCAUGACUCGUUUGGAAUUGGAAUGGAAAGUAUUCGCUCGUCUGAAUGACAUAUGGCCUGAUAAAGCUCCAAAGAUAAUGCGAAAAUAUCUUGCGUUUUCCGGAAUCUAUGGGAUACUCCUCAAAAUACGUGAUCCGAGACGCUCUUUCGAACUGCUGUACGAGUAGAUCCCUCAUAAAUUGAAGAUUGGCCAAGAUGACGCGCUACUAGCUGGCUGACUUGUUGGCUGUCAAGUGAGAAGAAGUCGGAGCUUUGCCAAGUUGGAAUAAAACACUUGACAAGAAAUGGAUAUGAUGGCGAGAAUUUUCUUGUCAAAAUCGGAGCCGUUCAUGCCUGUUUAGGCAGGAAAUACUGUCAUGUCUCACUCUCUUCUUUUGCUGUUUCAUAAACCCUUGAAUGUUUUAAAUAGUCGUUGACUUUGAACACUAGUUCAAGGUU